CUGUCCAUUACCAUCAGUGCUUCACGCCCAGACAGUGCUUUGGGUUUCCCAGAGCUGCCCUGUUCCUCCUCCACUCGAUGUACUGGAGACAUCGUCACAAACGUGUCAGAUAACUGAGGAGACUUUAACAAACCUGGGUCUGAUGAAGAUCCUGCAGAGCCGCACUGUAAGCGCUCAUUUUGGGGAAGAUGUUGGCAGUUAUUCUGUGCAGUGCACGCUCUGCUGAUGGUAACCUCAAGCCUGAGGAACACCUACUACAGUACGACAGGAAGCAGAGAUGGUUCUGCUGGAGGUAUAGUCUCUUAUACCUUGCAUAUAAUGCCGCAGUCUUUCCAUGAGAAACUACUGUAGGAACCAGCAGCUCAUGGCAAGGCCAAGUGAGAGAAAAAUGGGGAUGCAGGAGGAGCAUUUGGCACACAGUUCUAACUCCCAACAUAGAACUUAGGAUGUCCUGAGGACAUUCCAGUCUUCCUUGUUCUAAGGAGGGAAGCUGAGACAGAGAAAUAGGAUGGC